UUCUCUUUUCUCUCUCUCUCUCUCUCUCCCUAUCUUAAAGCUUUUUGUGGCAAGUGUGGGAUGUCAACAGCCCUACAAACGACAAGAAAGGAAAGGAGGCAGUGAAGCUAGAACAGUAGAGUAGGGUUCAUCAAUUAUUCUUCGAUCUCGUUCUUCACCCCCACAGUGUUUCUGCAAACUAGGGUUGGUUGGUUAGAGAUUGUUGGCCUAAUUUGGAAAAUUCCCCAUCUUUCUUUUUUUCCUUUGUUCUUACUCUCUACAUACCACUCUCUCUCUUUCUCUCUCUCCCUCUCUCUCUCUCCACAUUUUCCAUAUAUAGAAUGCUUACUAAUCACUAGAAGACUGGUGGAAGAUCUGCAAGAUUAGUCGAUUGUUGUCUGAAGGGGUCGGAUCAUUUUUUAGUUUCUCCCAAAAAUGACGAGGAGGAAAA